rnacentral:rRNA from 1 species
AGCAGCCGCGGUAAUUCCAGCUCCAAUAGCGUAUAUUAAAGUUGUUGCAGUUAAAAAGCUCGUAGUUGAAUUUCGGGAUUAGUACGUUGGUCGUGCCUUCGGUACGUACUGGUGUUACUGGUUCCUACCUUCUGACGAACCAUCAUGUCAUUAAUUUGGUGUGGCGGGGAAUCAGGACUGUUACUUUGAAAAAUUAGAGUGUUUAAAGCAGGCUCGCGCUUGAAUACAUUAGCGUGGAAUAAUGAAAUAGGACGUUGACCCUAUUUUGUUGGUUUCUAGGAUUGACGUAAUGAUUAAUAGGGAUAGUUGGGGGCAUUAGUAUUCAAUUGUCAGAGGUGAAAUUCUUGGAUUUAUUGAAGACUAACUACUGCGAAAGCAUUUGCCAAGGAUGUUUUCAUUAAUCAAGAACGAAAGUUAGGGGAUCGAAGACGAUCAGAUACCGUCGUAGUCUUAACCAUAAACUAUGCCGACUAGGGAUCGGAUGAUGUUAUUUUUAAUGACUCAUUCGGCGCCUUACGGG